AUUGAACGCUGGCGGCAGGCCUAACACAAGCAAGUCGGACGGUAGCACAGAGGAGCUUGCUCCUUGGGUGACGAGUGGCGGACGGGUGAGUAAUGUCUGGGGAUCUGCCCGAUAGAGGGGGAUAACCACUGGAAACGGUGGCUAAUACCGCAUAACGUCGCAAGACCAAAGAGGGGGACCUUCGGGCCUCUCACUAUCGGAUGAACCCAGAUGGGAUUAGCUAGUAGGCGGGGUAAUGGCCCACCUAGGCGACGAUCCCUAGCUGGCCUGAGAGGAGUACCAGCCGCACUGGAACUGGAACACGGUCCAGACUCCUACGGGAGGCAGCAGUGGGGAAUAUUGCACAAUGGGCGCAAGCCUGAUGCAGCCAUGCCGGGUGUAUGAAGAAGGCCUUCGGGUUGUAAAGUACUUUCAGCGGGGAGGAAGGCGGUGAGGUUAAUAACCUUGCCGAUUGACGUUACCCGCAGAAGAAGCACCGGCUAACUCCGUGCCAGCCGCCGCAGUAA
rnacentral:rRNA from 1 species